ACAGUAUCCGCUGCUCUGCAAAGAGAGGAAUCUCUGUCUGCAGACUCCGAGCAAGAGGAGAGUGAUAUUACUUGUUGGAGGCUCGAUGGAUUACCGACAGUUACCGCGCGUAUUGGAGACUAUAGACCUUCCACCUGCCUGUUUUUGUGUUAUAAGGCCAUAAAGGAGCAAAAAGCUGCAGAAUCCAUUCCAAUGUACUGGAGGACACCACAGGAGGGACUAAGAUUGGACUUGUGCUGUCUUUAUUAUUCCUUUCAGGACUGUCUACUUUGCAUGGCCGGACUUCAAUACAGGGGGCUGGACUUUCUCAAGGUUUCUCCGCCCCCUCCUGACAGGCCUGGGAAAUAUUUAGCUUACAUGAUGCAAAGAACUGUUGUGACUCAGUUCAUAUGUGGAGUCUGGGGCUUGUCUGUUGAAACAGGCUUAGACAUCGACGGAGGAAGCAGCAACAUCCACAUUCCAAGAACUCAUCGGUCAUAUUUUAAAGCUGUGGCAGAAAAGGCUCUGUGUUUGGUACGGCAGCAGUUCACUCCAGAGAAAAGGGUAACAAUUUUAUCUGAAAGUGUUCAAGCUUUCGUUGUGCCUUUUCUAAGAUUGGACUCCUUUAAUCACUGCCAUGGAAGGGUCGAUUAUUCUGGAUUUUUUUGAAAAGGAUGAUUUGUUGGAAGUUCUGGGAAACAUGGCCCGGGAAAAUCAACUAGAAUCACUGGCAACUCUUAAUUUUUCUGCAUUUAUAAGAUCACCCCAAGUUCAAGAGCUCCUGGCAACAUCAAAGACUUCUGUACGUAUUUCUGAUAUGAGGUUGACGUACUAUUACUUUCUGUUUCUCAGACUUAAUGAAUAUAUUGGGAAUACUGCCAUAAUGGGCGUUUUUAAGGACAUGAUGCACCUGACAGACAACAGUGAGGUGUCUGCCGUGUAUGCUGCGUGUCGGGACGUGACCCCAGAUAUAAAGUAUGCAGUGUGCCAGAGAAUAGAAGCCCUGACUAGGGGACAGCAGGAUAAUGAACUAUGGGACAUUCUGCGUGACGGCAUGAUCUCAUCAUCUAAAUUUCAGUGGGCUGUAAAACAACAUAGCAUCAACAAGAAACUGUUUAAUCCACAGCCUAUAAAGGUUAAUCACUAUUUUGCUGGUCCUCUAGCCUUUGGGAUAAGAUGUGAACAAACUGUUAAAAAAAUUUUGAGUGAGCUUAUUCAUCCAAACUUGCCAAGAUUUCAUGAUUGUGGAUUUUUGCCCAGUGCAAUUGAUGGAAUUUUUGGAGUUUCCCUGGACACUGCUUUCAAUGUGUUUACAGAUAGCAGCGGACUUGUGCACUUUGAACCAGAUAGUAUUGUGUAUGAAAUAAAGUCCAGAUAUAAGUACCAGUUUUCAAAAUCUGAAUUUGAUGGUCUGGCCAAGAAAUAUUUGGAUCUCUACAAAAACCCCUGUGAGGCAACUUUUAUCAAGUUCAUAAACUGUAUUUCAAGACCCGCUGUUGAAUAUGUUCCACAUGGAAAACUUCCCUCAGAAAGUGACUAUCUAAUCACCCACUCCAUGAACUGGAAAACCAGCAACAAGAGAAAGCGCAAAAUCACUGAUAGUCAUAUCUGUCUUAAAAAAUGUCUACUUCACAACAUGUAUCAACAAUCAACAGUUUAUAUCUUGUCAGACCCCUCUGAGACUUCUGGAAAAAUCACCAUUAAGGCAUCUUUUCCCAUAGAUGUAUUUGUGAAUCCUGCACACAACUACUUUUACCAGGUGGCGCUCCAAAAUAUGGUUGUUCAAGAUUACAUUGAAUUUGGUCAGGGUGUAUAUAAAAGACUAGGCCAUCAGAAGAAUUUCAUAGCAUCUGGAUUUUUCAGAAAGAGACACUUUUCUGAUCCUGCUGUUUGCUCCAUUGGUAAUUGUGGAAAGUUGGAUACUACAGACGAGAUACCAGUGGCGCUCAUCAUCACUCCUGUUAGGAUUCCAUCUACUGUGCUGCACGAGUACCUCAAGAAAGCAAUUGAUUUUUGGAAUCAGUGUGCUGAGGCAAACUUUGACCAUAUCCCAUGGGGGCAGCUUUCGGAUGUUGCAAGAAAACCCAUAACCCCCUAAAAGAUGUAAGGGGACAACUCAUUGACCUGACAAAGGACUUUGAACUAAUUUCUGAAAACACUGGACUUUUGGUUGAAGACCCCUCUGUUGGUGAGGGGCAUUUAGAGCUUAAACCCAAACCUUAUGGGUCAGACACUGACAGUGAUACAGACAUUGAAUAUGAACGAGGCAAACACGCUUAAUUUGCUUUAAUUACUUUAAUAAAAUGUUUAUAGUUCAUCUUC
rnacentral:tmRNA from 1 species